ACGGAGUUGUAGCAAUACAACUUAGUGGCGGAAGGGUUAGUAAUACAUGGGUAACUUGCCUUUAACUUUGGGAUAACGGUUGGAAACGAUCGCUAAUACCAAAUGUGGUGGGACAGGGCAUCCUGUCUUCAUUAAAGUGGGGGAUCGUAAGACCUCGCGGUUAAAAAGAGGCCCAUGGGAUAUCAGCUAGUUGGUGAGGUAAUGGCUCACCAAGGCUAAGACGUCUAGGGGAUUGAGAGAUUG
rnacentral:rRNA from 1 species